rnacentral:piRNA from 1 species
UGGACUCCCAAGACAUUCUCUGAAAUUUGC